rnacentral:lncRNA from 1 species
AGAAAACAAAACAGAUGAUCAGCUUCAGGGCAUAACAAAACAAGAGUCAGCACGCGAUGUCUCACACGACACCAAUGACAAGGGAAGGUUAACACAAGAUGAGGAGAGAGAAAAGGGAGGCAUUGGCAAGAAAGUUUAUUGGGUGUACCUGAGGACAGUUCAUGGUGGUGCCUUAGUUCCAAUAAUAAUCGCUGCACAGCUAUUAUUCCAAAUAUUUCAGGUAGCAAGCAACUAUUGGAUGGCAUGGGCAUCCCCUCCAUCAUCUGCAACCAACCCAACCAUUGGAUUAGGCCUCCUUUUCUCUGUGUAUAUAACACUAUCUAUGGGAAGUGCACUAUGUAUCUUUGCCCGCUCCAUGCUCACAUCACUAAUCGGUCUGCUAACAUCAGAAAAGCUCUUCAAGAACAUGAUCCACUGCAUCCUGCGUGCCCCAAUGUCUUUCUUUGACUCCACACCUACUGGGAGAAUUUUGAUCAGGGUUGGUUUUAUGAAAAUUUUAUACUGCAUCACAUGCCCUAACAGUACUAAAGUACGAAACUAAUGUGUGUUUUUCAUGUAACAGGCCUCCAGUGACCAACGUGCUCUAGAUAUGGACAUAGCAAACAAGCUUAGUUGGUCCAUGCUUUCAGUCAUACAAAUCCUGGGGACCAUUGGUGUUAUGUCACAGGUUGCAUGGCCAGUUUUCGCCAUCUUCAUUCCAGUGAUGGUUGUCUCUGUCCUUUAUCAAGUACGAACUCUUAGGCAAGAACUUCAGAUCUUGCUUACAACUUUGGUGUUCUCUUUACCAUUAUGCAUAUGGUUACUAUUGCAAUCAAUAAAUUAAAGGAAGCUUAAAUACCAGUUUUCUGAAUCCAUAUACUUUGUAUAAUGUGCAGCGCUACCAAAUACCAGCAGCAAGAGAGCUGGCUCGUUUGAAUAAAAUUCAAAGGGCUCCAAUCCUACACCAUUUUGCAGAAUCACUUUCAGGAGCAUCAAGUAUUAGAGCAUAUGGACGGAAAGAUCGUUUCAUAAAAGCAAACCUUGGUCUUUUUGACAGUCACUUCAGACCAUGGUUCUAUAACUUCGCUUCCAUGGAGUGGCUUUCUCUCAGGCUAGCCAUGCUAUCCACUCUUGUCUUUGCGGUUUGUUUGAUUCUGCUAGUCAGCCUUCCUGAAGGUUUAUUGAACCCAAGUAAGAUGUAUAUGCAAAGCCCUUGGUGAUUACAGAAGCCUCAAUAUGUCUUAUGUUUAGUGAUUUUCAAACUAAUAUAAUUACACAUGCAGGCAUUGCUGGACUUGCAGUGACUUAUGCAUUGAACCUCAACUAUCAGUUGACGUCUAUGAUUUGGAACAUUACCAGCACAGAGAACAAAAUGAUAUCAGUAGAAAGAAUAUUACAGUACUCAAGGAUACCUAGUGAGGCUCCUCUAUUAGUUGACUACUGCUGCCCACCAACUAGCUGGCCGCAAAAUGGAACUAUCAGUAUAAGAUGCUUGGAGGUAUGUGAAAAAGAAUCAUGAGUUAUGACCUAACAUGAGUGCAAACAUAAUUUUAUUUCACCAAUGAUUUUAAAAAUCUUUUGCUGAGUUGGUAAAAAAAAUUAAUUUAUUCAUUAACGUUGAAGUUAAAUAACCAUAUGCACAAAAUAACAGCAAGCUGUCAGAAAAAUUCAUCUCACGAAAGCGCUCGGUUUAUAAUAAUUAUAUAAAUAAUCACGUAGCUCUUACUUUUUAUUUUCUACAUAAUAAAUGAAACAUGUACUAUGUAUUUUAUCUCAAUAUAUGCAUUAGCUCAAAUGGAGCCAUCUAAUGUGACUUUUUGCUUUUACUGUUUUACAGGUUCGAUAUGCAGAGCAUCUCCCAUCUAUUUUGAGAAGCAUAUCAUGUACAAUUCCAGGAGGGAAGAAAGUGGGGAUUGUAGGACGUACUGGCAGUGGAAAGUCAACUUUUAUCCAAGCCCUUUUCCGGAUCGUUGAACCACGGGAAGGCACAAUUAAAAUCGACAAUGUUGACAUCUGCAAAAUAGGGCUGCAUGAUUUACGUGGCAGACUUAGCAUCAUUCCACAAGAUCCAACCAUGUUUGAGGGAACCGUAAGAGGGAAUCUUGAUCCACUAAAUGAGUACUCUGAUCAACGUGUGUGGGAGGUAACUUAAUCAGCUACAAAUACCAUCAUGAUAAAGAAAACCUUAAUUACCAUGUGAAAUAGGGAUAAGUCAUAAAUUAAUAUGUUUCCCUCACACUGCAUGUUUGAUACUACCACCAAACUUUAAAUGACUGAAGCCAGAAUGGGGGAAUGGAUGUAAUUGUUAUAGUAUAAGUGCACCAACUGUACAUUGCAAUUAGUAACACAAUACAAUUCCUAAAGAUUUUCUGGUAACUCAUAACCAACCCGAUUGAAAUUCAUAAUCUAUUGACAUAAAAGUGAACAGAAAAGGGAAAGUACCACUCAAAAGAAAAUGAUGACUAGAGGGAGUGGAGACAGCCACCUGAUCAGAAUAUUGGUUUGCUUAUUUUGUUCAGGUAUUGGACAAAUGCCAGCUUGGCGAUAUAGUUCGGCAAAACCCAAAGAAGCUGGAUUCAACAGGUAAUGCACUAUUUCAGGUCUAGUGGCCAAUGUGAAAACGUAGUGUUCAUGGGUAGGUGGUACUGUAGUAGUUACCAUAGUCUUGUAGGUAAGGAUAUCUUCAAUGAGACUAUAACCAAACGGGAUACCCCCUGCAGUUGUCGAGAAUGGAGAAAACUGGAGCGUGGGCCAGAGGCAGCUGUUUUGCCUUGGUAGGGUUCUGCUAAAGAGAAGCAACAUCCUCGUACUUGAUGAGGCAACUGCUUCAGUUGACUCCUCCACUGAUGCAAUUAUCCAAGAAACCGUCCGCCAAGAGUUUCGGGAUUGCACAGUGCUUACAGUGGCACACAGAAUCCACACGGUUGUUGACAGCGAUCUCAUCCUCGUCUUCAGUGAAGGUAUAAGGCCCGGGUUCAAUGAACAAACAGCAGUCCGCUGCAUGUUAUUGGAGGACCUAGCUGCAGUGAUACUAAAAUCCAUACUGUUUUAUGAUGAGCAGGGAGGAUCGUGGAAUACGACACUCCGUCGAAAUUGCUGAAGAACGAGAACUCUGAGUUCUCCAGGCUCGUCAAGGAGUACUCGAGGCGAUCCCACUGCUCCAGCGGCAGAGGAAACAACUGUAACAGGGGCAACUAGCACAGCAUGAAGACAGGGAUUGAAGUGAACUUCAAAAUCAAUCGUAGUGGCCUAGUGGGUGGCAUAGCACUAGCUCCUAGCUAGACUCAGUUAUUCUGUUGCUGAUGGGAUCAAACGUCCUGUAUAAGAAAAAUAAACGAUAAGAAGCACAUAUUCUGCGUAAAUGUGUGCACGCGAAUGGUGACAGUAGGACGUUUUGCCUUUUUCAACUGUAAUACUUGAUUGGGGCCUUACACAUCGCAGUGCGUCCGGUCAGGCAUUCCAUCGAGCAGGCGACGGGCAUAUGGCAGUGCGCUCGAGGCCGGCGCCUACUUAACGGCGCUAUCCCUCGCCUACCGGCUAUUGGAGAAGGAGGAGGUGGGAAAAACGGGCAGGCGGGUCGUCGGUGUCAUCGCCGGAGCGGGGUUCGGGGCGGAGGAAGGGGGACGAUGGGUGGCGGCCGUCGGCUGAAAGGUUGGGGAGGGCGGGAAGCACAGCAGAGCCGCAGAGAUGGUUCGUGUCGGCUUGGCUUGCGUUAGGAUAUGGAGCUGGCUCGGCUCAAAAAACAAGCUAAACUACCUCAAACACGGCAAAUCGUGCUUAGAGCAGUCAGUGUGUUCUAAAAGUUAUUUUUCGUUUUUCUCUUUUCUCUUUGAGUAUCCAUCGGCGCACCGCAAGACGCAAUGCUAGAUGAAAAAACUCGGCAUCGAUGACUCUAGUUUUCUUGAUGCAUAACUACUCCAAUAGCAUGCUGCUGCUCCCUGUCAGUGAGAAGGAAACUAUAAUGGGAGAAGAAAACAAAGCAUCGUUGGUUGUGGGUGUUAAAAUCCGGCAACCUACCAAGGAGAAUACCUAAGGUAGAGUCUUGGUUGGUGGGUGUCGCCAAAAUCAGGAACUCGAUGGUAUACGUAGGCACGCGAUUUAGACAGGUCAGACCGCUAGAUCGCGUAAUACCUAUGUCCUGUGUGUUAUUUGCUUGUAUUCAAUUGAACUUUCUAGAGAGGGUCCCUGCCUGUCCUUAUAUAUUGGUGGAGCAGGAUUAAGGAUCGGUUAUUUUACAGGAAUACCAGUCGGAUUCGACCAGAGAGUCCUACUCUAACUGCUAUGAGUAGUUUCCGAGUCCUCGACUAGUCCCUGUCCUCCACGUAGACUACAUCGUCCUGCACCAUAGUCUCCAUGUCUGACACGUCUUGGUGCACAACCCUAUAUAUGGGUCUGUCCAAAUCUUCUGAUGGGCUUGUGGAUGUAUGUACGACAAGCCUCGAGUACAUUUUAGUCAAAUGCAGCAGUCCCGAGUACCUUUACAGGCUUCAUCGACUAGUUUUUUAUGCUCUUUUGAGUACUCUGUCAAAGUUGAGCCUUCAAGUAACUCGAGUACUGCCAUGCGGCUAGAAUGCGCUCAAGCCUCAUCCGACGCUAUGUUGAAUAUCUGUCCUUGAAUUUAUAUAUGGAAGUGCGAUGAAAAUUGCACUUCAUAUGGAGUAGCCCCCGAGCCUUAGGUUGAAUCGAAGAAUCAGGCUGAGGGUCAAUCUGCAUUCGCAUUGUCUUCACUUUAAACUCCAGAGAAAAAACUUUUUAGCCGACGGGCACGUGGCACACAGCCCCCGAGCUAUUACCCGAUUAGUUUUAGGAGGUAUAAGGGUCAACCACCAGUCAUUGUGACCGUCACCAACAGUAACUUUAUCUUUUGUGGUAACUUCGGAAACUGAUGGCCAUAUGCAAAUUUUGCGACUAGUGGCGAAAACAUUAGGCCAUUACCUCCGUUUACUCCGCCUCUGUUAUAAAUAGACGGGAGAAAUUACCCCUCCUGUUUACUUUGCCAUUUGCAUCUACUAUUUGCCUUUGCUGAAAACCUUCCCCCCGAGCGCCACCACAAUCCAAUCUUAGAUCGCCAAUGCCGCCUCCCCCCCUAUCGAGCUCCCGAGCAUAUGCGCGUGAAGAGGCUUGCAACAAUCAGGAUGGGGAGGAAAGCUGCUGGUGCCAAGGGUGCUGAGGGUUCCAAGAAGGGAUCCAAAAAUGGGAAAGAGUCACAGCUGCCUCCGCCCAAGUACGGAAAGACGAACCAGAUCGCGCUGCCGAAUCAGGCCUUAGCUUGGAAGAGGUCCACCCUAAAGGAGCAGGAGAUCCAGGCCCUGUUGACGGCGAAGCUACUGAAGGAUCAAGCAGUCGUAGGGUGGCAGUGUAACUAUGGUAAUGUGUGGCCAUUUGGGAUGCACCCCGACGAGACAGUAACUUUUGCGCACUUGUUGAGCGGGGUUUUGCUAUCCGCUCAUCUGAUUUUCUUCAGGGUCUUCUGGAUUACUACAAGCUUCAAUUAGUCCACCUCAACCCAAAUGACAUCCUCCAUAUCUCUAUCAUCGUGCAUUUGUGUGAAGGUUUCUUGGGGAUUCAGCCCCACUUCCAGUUGUUCCGCAAGAUAUUCGAGGUGAAGCCGCAUCCAAGAAUGGAGCACAGUGAAGUAGUCAGAGGUGCCGGAAUUCAGAUCUGGGAGAAGAGUAGUAGUCUGUAUUUGGACUACCAAACAAUUAAGUCACACUCUGGGUGGAAGGAGAGGUGGUUCUACAUUGAAGACCACGAACCAAAGCUGCCAAAGGUGACUGGUCACUGCUUGGAGUGGAACAAUAGGUGGAUUGAUGAGCCAACGUUCGGGAGCAGUCUCCAAGUACCCGAGCUUUUAGCCAAGAUCGCCCAUCUGAACAAGCAAGGACUGACAGGCAUUGGAGUGGCCUUCAGUUUCCUGAAGAGGCGAGUACAACCCCUGCAACUCCGGCACACAUGGGGUUACGAGUACUCAGGCCUUGAUGAUCCGUCAAGGAUGUCACCUGAGGAUAUCUCCACUGAUGAAGUGAUGGCAAGGCUGAAACACAUGUUCAAGAACGUCGAUGAGAUCUCCCAAAUAGUCUUGGCAUUUAACUCCUCCAACCCACCAAGAGCAGUAUGUACCCGUGGCCGUAGCCCCCGAGUACCUAUUUGUUGUUGAUCUUCUGUUCCGAUUGGUCUCCCUUUAUGCAGGAGGAUAUACUCGUGUUCUUUUCACCCCCUCCUCCACCCGGUGCCGAUGAUGUUGAAAGUGCACCGCGAGUUUGUGGGUGGAAUAUGGCUAUAUUGGGGGCCACCCAAGAGGAGGAGGAAGAAAAAACUGAGUCCCUCAGCAACUCAAACACUGAUGCCGCUGAGGAUUUUGUUGUGCAGUAUCGUGCCUCGGACGAGGCCGGGGCAUCCUUUGGCUCAUCAAAGCGUCUUGCGGAAGAUGAGCUUGAGGCCAAUUUGGCCCCACUGCUAAGGAAGAGAUGAAUAGUUGCCAAGACGCGCACUUCAAGGAGUCUUCGCAUCGUCUAGCACGCGCCUCCACCGGUAAUAACCUUCAAGGAAGGGUAGAACCCUGAGGUGCGAGUAUGAUUGUAUAUGCAUGUUGAUCUCAUGGAUACUAAGGAUGGCAACGGGGCAGGUUCGGAUCGGGUGGAGUGCCGAGGCACCCAAAACCGAAACCCGAACCUAAAACCUGAAUUCGACCUGAAAACCGAUUUGGGUGAAAAUCCAUCCCUGAAAUCGAAAUCCGCGGGUACCCAAAACCUGAUGGAUUAACCAAAACUCGAACAUGAAUAGUACAAUAUAGUAUAACAAUCUUAAACAAUACAGUAACAGUAUAGUACAGCAACAAUUUCACUAACAAUUUCAGCAACAGUACAACAACAAUACCAGGCGCAGUACAGUAACAAUACAGGUCUUAAACACCAAGUUCAGGGACAAUACAACAACAAUUUCAUGGACAAGUUCACAGCAACAAUUUCACUGAAAUUACAAGUUCAUGGACAAGUUCAGAGAUCACAACAAUAAUUUUACUUAAAUUACUAAAAUGUUGAACGCAAUGUAAAUUCACAAGUUGAAAAUAGAAGCAAACAACAAUACCAUUUCUUCAUCUUUUUUGUCAAGACAAGUCAUCAAAACACCAACAAAAGUGGACUGAGAACCUGCAUUGAUAUAGUAUUCACAAAUUAGUUUUAUUGCUUAUCCGGAAUGAAGAACACAUACUUAUAGAAAUUGCACUUACUGACUUACCCAACAUGUCGGCAUGAGACCAUGCUUGCAUGCACAUAAGGGCUUGUAUCAUUGAUGGUGCAAGCCUACUAUGAUGUGGACUAAUUAUUCUCCCACCUGUACUAAAGACUGACUCGGAUGCCACCAUUGUCACAGGAAUAGCAAGGACAUCACGUGCAAUUUUUCGUAACGUUGGGUAUUUCAGCCCUACAUGUUGCCACCACUAAAUGAUAUCCAGCUCUUGUGUCCUAGGCAGCAAUGGCUCUUCCAAGUACAAAUCUAACUAUGUAUGCACAUAAGUGGAGGUCACAACUAGCUGCUUGGACAUGUAAUCAUCAAAAGUGUCCAUCCAAUCCUCAUCAUCCAUCUGAAUAGGAGCAUUAGGUCUAGUUUGAGCACCAUCUGUUGUGGCAACAUCCUCUAUAGCACCUUGGUAAUCCAAAACCAGAUUGCACAACAAGUCUUUCACUUUGUUGACAGCUUCCAUAGCUAAACUUUCUAACCCAUGAAUUUUGAGAAAAAGAGCAUUCAACAGUUGCAAUUUAAACCUAGGAUCUAGGAUAGCAGCAAUAACCAUCAAACCAUGCACAUCUGACCAAUACUUUUUGAACUUUUCUUUCAUUUUAAUAGACAUUUCUUCUAACUUAGGAGCAUCAUGGCUUUGCCACUUCCUAAUUGCAAAAAAAAUGUUGCAUAUUUUGGGGAAAAAAGGUUGGCUAUAACAUAUCUAGUGCCUGACAGUAGCUCAGUUACAUCAUAGAACAUCUUUAACCUGUCACAAAGAUCUAUAGCAAACUUCCAAUCAUCUUCAGAUGGAACACAUGGAGCACGAGAAGCAAGGCACUCAAAAACAUCUUGGUAAAGUAGUGCAGUGCUAAGCAUAAUAUAAGUUGAGUUCCAUCUAGUUUUACAAUCAAGAGCAAUUCUUUUUUUCAUAUUUUCCUUUCAUUUGUGCUGCCAUUUUCUCAAACUUAUCAUGUCUUUUAGGAGCGGCCAACCAGUAUGCAACACUAUCACGCACUUUAUCAAUUCCAUUCUCCAUGACACUCAUUCCAUUUUUCACAAUCAAAUUUAAAUAAGAAAACUUUUUAGCUUCCAAUCUUCAUCUAGAAAAUGGGCUAUAACUGCCAUGUAACCUUUCCUCUGGUGGUCCACGAGUCCAUAGUAACAGCAACAUGACAACUCAAUUUCUUGAUAUAAUUCACCAUAGAUUGCUUCUGCACUUGAUACAUAUCCAAGAUAUCCUUCCUAAUUGUGUUUCUAGACACUACCUUGAAUGCUGGCUGCAAUGCAGCACAAAAAUUGCGAAAUCCAAUAUGGUCCACCAUGGAAAUAGGAUACUCAUGGACAAUAAUCAUUAAAGCAAGUUCUUUCCUAGCGACAUCUUGAUCGAACACAUCUCUAUUGUGACUGUGCCAUCUUGUGGGUUUGCAGAUAAUUUAAGAGUUGAGUGUGUUAAACCUUUUCUAGUAGCUUUGUCUUGACAUACAACAAUAUGAUUCUUCAAGUGAGUUGUACCAUUUCUUAUCUCCCCACCUAAAUGGUUUUUUACACCAUUUACAUUUUGCUUUCCAAACCCCACUAACAUUAAUCAAAUCAAAGUCUUCCCAUACUUCAGAUCUUACCUUUCUCUUAGUACCAACAGGAACAUCAUCUUCUACCUCUACCACAUCAGUAUUACCUUCAGUUGCAGAAUCAGUUGCCGGUGCUGCUAAAUUGGAUGGCGGUGUUACUGAAUUGGCUGCAAGAUAUCGACGAGUUUGAGGAUGAGAACCCACAGAUUGAGAUUCUGCAGCAACUUGAGAUCCACUCGAAGCACUAGGAGCUAACAUUGCUCACUUCCUGCUGUGAUCUAAAAAAGUUUUAGGUAGCAAGACAUCAGUUCAAGACAUCAGUUGAACUAUUGAUUAUAUCACUAAGAGGACAACAAAAAAGCAUAAUAGUUAAAUUCUAACAUAGACCAAUUCCUGAAUAUUUAGAAUUGAGAAUAUUAGGUUACAGCUAGCAUUGGAAGGCAGACUAAAGAAAUAACAUACAAGAAAAUUGAUAAUUCAAACGGAGCUAACAUUGGAAGACAGACAAUAGAAUCAUGGGCUCAACUUAAACUGGAACUACACAAUCUCUGCAGGCAGAAGUUUGCCACCAAAACACUGCAAAAACCCUUUUACAAAAUUAAAUGCUGACAGGUGAAAUUAAGGGGAGCUCUUUUAGCAAAUGUUAGCCUAAUAGCACAAGACCAUCACAAAGCAUGUUGCCAUUUCUUUGGAUCAUUGCAGCAGAUAUAACCAAGCAUGGAAAAUUGUAAGCUAACUUUCAGCUGAAUCUAUUAUACCACAAUUGUCUAAUAUUCCAUUAUGUCAUAAUUCUGACAAAAAGUACCAAAACAAGCAGCACUGAGCCACUGAUCUGCGGGCGGGGUGCCAGGACGGUGGCGGGCCGCGGCCUCCUCGCGGGAUGACACACGGCGGCGGGGCCUCGCGGUCGCGGGAUGGUGCACGGUGGCGGGGCGCAGCCGGCAGUGGAUCCGGCGGCGGGACGGCGCACAGAGGCGGGGCGCGGCCAGCAAUGGAUCCGAUGGCGAAGCACAUACGCGCAGGCGGCGGGAUGUGUGUGGGAGAGGUGAGGCCGCGCGAGACUGCCGAUGGCGACGAGCGACGGCGGCGGGGUAGGGGACUGGGGGUGCGGCGUGCUGGACUGUGGGAGGUGCCGAGUGUGGCACUGCGGUCGUGGCACCAUGCGCCCAUGCGGGGUGCCUAGACGCCUGGGUGGUGUAUCUUGCCGUUAUAUACCUAGGGUUCCUAAUGGGCCUUUAGUGGGCCGAAUUGUUUUGGGUACCCGAUGGAGCUCCGCGGUUAUUUUAAAAACCCACACCAAACCCGCAGUAUUUCGGGUAUCCGAACUUGAAAAACCAUGGGCGAAAACCAGGAACCAAAACCAAAACCCACAGACCCGAAACCCAUGGAUAUCUGCCCCGAAACCGAACCGCUGCCAUCCUUAAUGGCUACUAAUCAAGCCUUUGUUGUAUUUGCAGGUAGUCGACAAUGUAGUUGAGGCGACGGAGGUGGUUGCUGGUGCCCUCCCGUUGGAAGUUCCAUCCCCCGGGGAGGUCGUUGAAGUCAGUGAUAAUCAAGAACCCCCCGCUGUUGAAGUUAACCCUGCCGGUACUGAAGUACCCGCGCAGGAAGAAGACAGGACUACCCUAGCUGGCAGUAGUCAGUAAGCACCUCCACGUGCCUCGCCAGGAGAGUUCACCCCUACUGUCCAGCCGCUACGCUUGGUGGGGAACCCGUCACUAAAGCUGCGGUGAUCCACAAGGUAAGCAUUUUGUUGUUGUAUGAGUACUAAUUCUAGGUUGAGUACUUGGUUGUCUUCCGUCGCUGACGCUAAGUGUUGUGCAAGACGUCUUCUAGCCUGGGCCUUGGGUCAUCGGGUUCAAGGUCAACAAUCGAUGAUGUUAGCCGCUCGGUUGAAGAUGCACCUCCCGCGCCUACUGUAGCCCUAACGGAGAGAGAUUUAGCUCCGACGGUCGAGACAGGUGCCGCAUCACUUGUCGCUGUGUUGAUGCAUGACAUAAUCAACUCGAUGGCUGACAUUGCAGUGCCAGCCCCCGAGCCUGCUGUACCCGGGGCUCUUCCCAUGGCUAGUCUUGUGGAGAGUCCACCCCCGCCUGUGAUCGUGGAAGUUAUCCCCAUCAACGCUGCUACUCCCGAAGCCCCUGAGCUUGAAGCAAUUAGAGCUCUUGAAGCCGUGGCUGCUGCUGUCAGGAUGACUUCCGAAGCCAGCACAUCAUCUGGCUGUGAGAUGGUUCUUGUGCCCAGCGUGAGGAUCGAGUUGAGCAUUGGGAUUUAGGUGCUGCCUGAGGAGGUCCAGCUGAUUGACGAUCCUCUGCUAGAUGCGCAAAUGAUGGCCACCAUGCUCGAGAUGAACCGACGCGUCACGUCUUACAUUAAGGUAAGUUUGAAUUUUUGCCUUAUGCUUCACUUCUGAAUGUCUGCAAUAUGUACUUCGUGCGGUACCCGAGUACUGAUUUGUGGAUAACAGGACUUGAUCAACCGCUCUCGCCGGAAGUCCCAGUUGCUGCAGGACUGUGGUGAGACCGUACAAUGUGCUGAGGCAUUGGAGAAAGAGCUGGCUAAAGAGGGACAGCAAAACUCCCAGCUCGUCAUGAAACUUGACAGAUCGGUGGUGACUUUUCGGGCGCAGGUGCAAGACUUAGAAAAGGAGAAAGAGCGCCUUGUUGCCCGGAAUAAGUCAUUGAGCCAGAAGCUUGAAGGUGAGUACUCAUCUUUUUGUUGUGUCCGUCUAUUGAUAGCCUGUAGUAUUUUUGACUGAUUUUUGGUCUCUGUUGUGCAGAGUAUAAGAAUCAGGAAUCCCAGUUGAAGGCUACCAUAACUAAUUGGCAGAAUGCCUACUACCGGACCAUUGAUCAACAUGAGAGGCUGGGGCAGCAGGUGUCCGAGCUGGAGCGCGACUUGGAGAAAGAGAGGAAGAUGCGCCAAGAUGGUGAAGUUGAAUUGAUCAAUGUCAUGAUGACCAUCCAGGCGCAACAAGUCGAGCUUGGGGCCUGUAAGCUGGAGUUGCAAAGCUGUUUGCGGUAGCCCGACCCUUGGCUGAUAUGUGGAGCCUCCGGUUGAUGGCGUGGAUCCUUGUCCACUGGUGGAGAGACUCCGAGAUGCACCGGGGAAGAUCACAGGCUACGUCUAAGGGAUGGCGAAGUCCAUCUCGAAACAGUUGCUGACCUUCAUAAAGUCCUACCUGACGCUGACUUGUCUCCUAUCGCGGAGGGGAUAGUGGGAGACUGCACGGACGAAGUCUUCCAGCAAUAUCUGCAAGAGAUGGAUCCCAUUGUCGAGGAAGUCGCCAAGCAUCUGGACCUACAAUGAACUCCUUACCUUUUGGGAUAGAAAGAACACUUAGUUUUGUAAUGGGAUAAAUGUGUAGAUAACUCUAAGUCUAAAUGCAAUUUGUUGCUAUCGACUUGUCGUCUGUCAUGUUUAGUGCUUCUCACACUUGGUCCUAAUUUUGCUCAUACGACCGAGGUGAGUGUCUAUGCACAAGGCUACUAUUGUGAGCCUCUUCGGAAGCAAAUUGUUGGAUACUCGGGUACUCGAGCUAUCCAGUAGUGGUCAUCAGCUAGUUUCUCCAGGAUUCUGCUGACUAGGGCUUGUUUCCUCGACUCCCCUGAGUAGAGUAUUUUCAUGAUUGCUGCUUUGUCAGGAGGGCCACAUGGGAGUACUACUCGCCCGUGUCCAGUUGACAAAGACGAGCAACAUGUGAACACUGGUCGUCAGAGUCCUGACGGUAAGGAUAGGCGUCACAUGAACACUGUAUGGGUGUGAUGUGCAUAGGGAGCUCUGCCGUGCAUUCACAAGAGCAUAUUGUAGCACUCUGGAUGGUAGUUGGCUGCCUUGGCUUUAAAUAGAGCUGCAUCUGCAUCUAGAGUGUUCAUGGCUCAAGUUAUAGCACAGGUUGGCUUGAGGUUUUUGUUGUUCAUCAGGGGUAGCUUCCACCAUAUUUUCUAAUGCUAGAAGAAUUCUUGUGAAGAAUACACAGGUGCUCCUUCCCUCUACAGUCUCUUUGGCCUAGCCUAAAGGCUAUAAUGCUAGAAGAAUCCUCAUGAGGAAGGUGCAUCGUGUGCCCCGGGCUUUGUCCAGGAUACCGCUAAGAAUGGACUAGAGUGUAGCUUCCUUGAACGCAGGUUUCUUGCAUUCACUCUUUUUUCUUCUUCCACGUUGAAGCUGCUUGUCCUGAGGUUAGGGUAGUCCCGGGACUGGUCACACACACUUUGUGAUAUUGUAAAAGCCUAGGACUUCUGUUGUAACCUUAAUGAAAGCAUGUAUGCCUUAUUGAUGAGAUGUUGCUAUCUUGUUUCUUUGUCUUGUUUUGUUGCUGUACCUUGGGAAUCUGGAGCUGCAAAACUCAUUAGUAUGAGCCACAUUAAGAUAGAUUUGUAGUAAAUAAGUAGUCGAUCAGGUAGUUUGUGGACUCCUAGACGACUUGAUGGCUCUUGCGUUGCUAGUUCGCUAAGCGAACUGCCUAGGUGAGUUGAAUAACUCAUGUAGACUUAUAAUUAAAAGUCAUACUGGGGCGUUGUGGCCCAAGGAGCUCAAUGGCUCAUUAGGAUGCUGCUGACCCACUUUUGCAAGCCGCAAUAGGGGAGAGAAUAAGUAGUCGAAUUUCACCGAAGAUAACUGCAUUAUUAUGCUAAAAACUUAUAACGGUGGCCAGUGGCCUAUUUACAAUGCUGUGUAGUCUUCUAACUACGGAUAGAAUCGACAUAGAUGCUCGAUGUUCCAUGAGUUGUUGACAUUUUUGCCAAAAAGGUGUUGUAGCCUAGGCUUGUGACCUUGGAUACGAUGUACGACCCUUCCCAUGGUGAAUUAAGCUUGUGCAACCCCUUAGUGUCUUGGAUACGCUUAAGGAACAUGUCGCCUAUGCUGAAAGAACGUUCUUUGAUGUUGCGAUCAUGAUAGCAGUGAAGACCCUCGAGGUACCUUGCAGACUAGACGAGUGCUGCACAUCGGGAUUCUUCUAGGCUGUCAAGAUCUAGAUGUCUUGUCUCCUUUGUUGCCCCUUCAUCGUAUUGCUCAACUGUUGGGGAUUUCCACAUAACAUCAGCAGGAAGGAUAGCUUCCGAUCCGUAGACCAGGAAGUAGUGCGACUGCCUCGUAGGUUUGCACGACUGAGUAUGUAGCCCCCAGAGGAUGUUGGGUAGUUCUUUGAGCCAUUUGCCUCCUUUGGUGUUACCAAUAUCGUGCAAUCUUUUCUUCAAGGCUUCCAGUAGCAUCCCGUUGGCGCGCUCAACCUGACCAUUGGCCCACGGGUGAGCAACAGAGACGUAUCGAACAUUGAUGUCACUAUUUUCACAAUACUCCUAGAACUCGUGGUUGUUAAAAUUGGAACCCAAAUCUGUGAUUAUCUGAUUGGGGAAUCCAUAGCAGUGGAUGAUCUCAUCGAGGAAGUUGAGUACUCUAUCUGCCUUGGGGUAGGUUGUUGGCUUGACCUCAACACACUUGGUGAACUUGUCGAUGGCUACCAAUACUCGGUUGAAUCCUUCGAACACUGUAGGAAGUGGACUGAUCAUAUCAAGCCCCUAGCAUGCAAAGGUUCAUGUUGGCGGUAUGGUGAUAAGCUUGUAUGUAGGGGCAUGGUGCUACUUGGCGAAGAAUUGGCAACCCUAGCACCGGCAAACUAGUUCUUCAGUGUCCGCUAGGGUGGUGGGCCAGUAGAACGCUGCUCUAAAAGCCUUCCCCACAAUUGUGCGUGAGGAUGCGUGGUUACCGCAAAUGCCCUUGUGUAUCUCCUCCAAUAUAUCAUUGCGGUCAUGACGUGUGACGCACUUCAUGAGUACUCAUGAAGACGCGCCUCUUCUGUAUUGCUCUACCCUUAAUAUGGGUUAAACAUUCAACAAACAUGUUUAUGUUUUCUUGAAUAGCAUACCAGCGGUGUAUGAGGGAACUUCGAGUACAAUCUACGUAAUUCGUGUAUAUGCUUGGAAUUAAAUCAAGUAAUUCAUGGCAAAAAGUUAUCCUCUUUUUGUUGUGGUGUAUUUAUCUUCUUGAGCAUGCUGCAACUUUUUUUUUGAACGAGCCAGCAGGAGAGCUGCUACUAUAUUAAAAAAGCGAAGGAAUGCCCGACGGGUGAAGUACAAAAGUUCUAUACAUACUGCACACGCACAUCCCAAAGCAAAAGGGAAAACGAGAGUGUAAAAAAAAUUCGAUACUACAGAUCCCUCACCACAUUAAUGAAGGACUCUAGGUGCUUAGCACCUGCCACAAUCCAUAUAGCCCCCUGGUCUUUGAUCUUAUUUACCGUCGGAUGUAUCGUCUGCUCCUUUUUUUAAAAAUCCUGGCGUUUCUUUCAUUCCAAGUUUCCCAUAGGACGAGAAUAAUUAAGCUUCGCAGCCCUUUCCUGCUGGCCACCUGAGCGGACGCCAAAGCUGUCCACCAACUAUGUAGAGGCUCAUGUCCAUCCCAGUGGCCUGGGUCAAUAUAAGCGCAUCGUGUCUAUGCACCCAUCUCUGCCCAUAUUGUCUUUGUAAAAGAGCACUCUCUGAAAAGAUGAAGACCAGUCUCUUGAGUUAUGUUACAAAGUGUGCAUUGCGGCCAGUUAGGCCAUCCCCAUCUCUCCAGGCAAUCCGCUGUCCAUAUUCUGUCUUGUACGGCUAGCCAGCUAAAAAACUUACACUUCGGCGGCACCCACAUUUUCCAAAUGAUGGUGUCGAAGUUAGUUGUCAUUGAUCCUAAGAAUUGAGCUUGGUAGGUAGAUUGCGAAUUAUAAUGUCCAUCCGUCGUAAUUUUCCAUACGAUGGUGUCCGGCUGAUCCGGGCGUAGCUGUAUCUGAUUGACUGCAACCCAUAGACGGUGGUACUCUACAAAAUGUGUCACAGAGAAGCCGCGGUGUAGUAGGUUUAAGUCUCGUAUCCAAACAUCAUCGAUCAUAGCAUCGUGCAGGGUCCUAUUCUUCGUCCUGGAGAUAUUGAACAAAUUCGGGGCCAUGUCUCUCGACGUCUGUCCCUGUGCCCAACUGCUAUGCCAGAAGGAUGCUUUCUUGCCAUCCCCAAUUGUGAUCGUGGUUGCCGCGGCAAAAAGUUUGUGGUCUACUUGUGAGCAAGGAAUAUCCCGUUGGUCUGAGAGCGGACCCUCAUUCAUCAAGUCAUGCCAAAGCCACCGUAGAUGCAACGCUCGAGCGAAUUUUGCUAGGUGUAGGAUCCCUAAGCCGCCUCCUUUCCUCGGCGUUGCUGAUCGCACCCAGUUUACUUUGCAUUUACCGCUCGUGAUGCGUUCAGUUCCCACCCAUAAGAACUGUUUUCUCUUUUCAUCAAUGCUCUUCAUAAUUUCUUUAGGCGCCUUCAAGGCUGUCAAUAGGUACACCGGUUGAGAAGUCAGCACGGCCUUGACGAGCGUGAGUCUGCCGGCCACAGUCAUGUUCCUUUCAUUCCAACUGGUAAGUUUCCCAAUAAAUUUGUCCACUAGAGGUUGGAAGUCAACAGUCCUUAGGCAUUGUGUGGACAAUGGAAGGCCUAGAUACUUGAUAGGGAAUAAUGUGCGCUUGGUAGGUAGGUUAUGCACAACUUCAUUGAGUUGUACUCCCUCACAGCGGAUAGGGACGGCCGUUGAUUUGUGGAAGUUUGUUUUGAGCCCUGUUACUUCACCAAAUCCAUCCAGGAUGUUGACCAGUGCAUCUAUUUCCUCCUUCCUCGGUGCUAUAAAAUCAUCACGUCAUCAAUAUACAUUGAUAUAUGGCAUGAUGGUGUCCGGCCACGUAGUUUGGUAAGAACUCCCAACUCAGUUGCCAGCUCCAAAAUCCUUUGAAGUGGAUCAAUCGCUAUGACGAAGAGUAGCGGAGACAAAGGAUCACCUUGACGUAGUCCCCUACCUUGCGUGAUAGGUUGGUUAGGACCCCAUUUAGAAAGACGCGGGUGGAGGAAGUGGAGAGAAUCAUCACGAUCCAGUCACACCAGCAUGUCGGGAAGCCUAGGUGUUGUAGAAGCGAGGGGAGAUAGUCCCACCUAAUGGAGUCAAAGGCUUUCGCAAUGUCCAGCUUGAUGAAAAUGGCAGGCACUCUCUCUCUCUCUGUGAUACCACCUCGCUGUGCUACGCACCAUCAUGAAGUUGUCAUGUAUACUGCAUUUCUUGAUGAAAGCACUCUAGCAUUUAGAGACGAUGGAGUUCAUGUGCGGUUGCAGCCUAAUCGCCAAUGCCUUAGUGAUGAUUUUGAUGAAAGAAUGGAUGAGGCUUAUGGGCCUGAAAUCCUGGAUGCAAUCUGCUCCCUCUUUUUCGGUAAAAGGAUAAUAUUAGCCGUGUUGAUUAGCUGGAGGUUGUUGCAGCGGAGGGCGUAGAACGCAUUUACCGCUGCCAUCACAUCGUUCUUGAUGAUAUCCCAACAUGAUUUUAGGAAGAGUCCUGUGAAUCCAUCAGGCCCUGGUACUUUAUCACUCUGCAUGUUUUGAAUGGCAUAUUUGAUUUCAUCUUCGGAGAAGGCCAAGUCUAGGGAAGCUAGGUUGUGCUGGUUCAGUCCCAGGAGAUCCCAAUUAAAAUCCCGACGUCGGGGUUGAGGGCAUUGCAUUGUUGCUUUGAAAAAAAUUUGAAUCUCAUUUGCUUUUUCUUCGUGUGUACAUGCCCAUCCACUCCCCCUCCUAAGUUUCUGGAUGUAAUUUUUACGUCGCCUAGAGUUGGCCCAUCGGUGGAAAAAACGUGUGUUGGCGUCACCUAGCCUGAGGUUUGUUAUUCGGCUUGCUUGCUUCCUACAUGCUCGUUCAAUAACCGCAAGUCCCAUGACCCUUAAUUUGAGGCGGUUGCGCAGUGGCUGCUCUGCAUCCGUAAGAGGUCGGUGCUCUUGCGUAGUGUCGAACCGUAGAAUGACUUCUAGAGCCAUAUUCAUUAUCAUCUUCAUGUCUGGUAUGAGCCUACUGCUCCAUUCUCUUAAUUGGGCGGGCAUAUGUUGUAAUUUGUGAUACAGCCUGUGGAAUGGCUCAACGUGUAGCGAUUGGACGCUCCAUGCUCGGCCUACAGUGUCUUUAAAACCUGGGAGCAUUGUCCAAAAGUUUUCAAACUUGAAGGAUUUGGGGCGUCUGGAGCCACCUUGGUUUGAUAGCAAGAGUGGGCAAUGGUCGGAUAACGACAUUGACAGAGCGUGCAACACGUGCUUAUUGAAGGCCUGUUCCCAUUCGUCAUUGGCGAAAACCCUAUCCAGCUUGACAAGGGUCAGGUUGCGUCGUUCAUUACUCCAGGUGUACCUUCUGUUUUGGAGAUGUAUCUCGCAUAAGUCACAAUCAUCGAGCGCCCGUUUGAAUGAGUUCAUAAGUCUUGGGUUGAUCUUGUUGUUGUUUCUAUCAGACGCUUUAUAUAUCAGAUUGAAGUCGCCUAGUACCAGCCAUUGGGAACCGGCGCUAGGUUUUUGUUGCCGAAUUUCUGUUAGGAAGUUUGCUGUCCUGGUAGAACCGGUAGGGCCGUAGACUGCUGUCAAAGUGAAUUCGUUCAUCGCUUGUUGCGUUGUCACUCUUGCCGUGAUGUGGUACUCUCCUACAACAACGUCGUUUAUCAUGACAUGAUUACUGUUCCACAGUAGCAGGAUGCCUCCUCUUGUGCCACUCGGCCCCCUGCUGGUUUGUAGAUGAAUCUGUCAAGUCUAUGCCCUCCUAGGUACGCGGCCGUGAAAAGAUCAAUCUCGCUAAGCUUUGUUUCUUGUAAACAUGCAACGUGGCAUAGAGUGUCAGCAAGUGUCUCCCAGACCGUGUCACGCCUGGCUCUGUGGUUAAGCCCUCUAACAUUCCAGCAUAAUAUCUCAAUGUUCAUUUGCAACUUUUGUAGUCUCCAGUAUUGCAGGAUAGUGGUUGAAGAAUGAUGAUCCCCAAUGCAUUAAGAUCUGAAUUUGGUCCAUGUAAAACAGUGUGCCGGCAAUGACAGUUUCUCUGUACUUUGUAAGCCCUUCAGGAACGAGGUCUGAUAUGAGCUUAGCAAAACCAACAUCGCCAAUUUUGCUUACAUAAUUCUUGUCCAGCAAGAUGUUUCCAGGCUUUAGGUCACGAAGGACGAUAGGCUCUGGUUUCGUUCCCUGCAAGAAAGCAAACCCACAAGAUACCUCAAACAUAAUUUGGAAUCGCAGAAGCCAAUGGAGUGGAUGCCCUUUAUUGUUGAUCAAUUGGUCUUCUAGACUCUCAUUCUUAUCUGAAAUUAACAGAAGCAUUACAGGAGGCGCAGCAGGUACAUAAGGCUGAUAUAAUAGAUGCAUUUCGUCGACUCAACUGUUAUUGAAGCGCAGGAGCAUAAUAGAACCAGGUACUACAGAAGCAGGUACAAAAGCCUGAUAUAAUAGUAGCACAUCAUCAACUCGACUAUGAUUGAAACGCAGGAGCAAAAUCGACAGAGGCAUUACAGAAGCACAGGCUGAAUGUAAACAAAGGUCGAUGUAAGCAUAAUUGAUGGCCCAACUCAGGUGUCUGGUUCUAGGAUUACAACCAAAUUGAGAAGAUGCAUAUGCUGAAGGUGAACACACAAUGAUGCAAACAUAGCUGCUAGCCCAUGUCAUCUGUCCGGCUUUAGGCUUACAAACAAAUUGGAAAGACACAUUGAACAUCUGGAGAUUGUGGAUGGUUUUUGCCCUGGAAAGUAACUGAUACACUGCACUUAACAUUGGUGGCUUGUGAACUCUCGGUGCUGCUGGAGACGCAGAUCAGUUGGCCUGUUGGAUGGUUGCUGCCUGGGCAGGCAUUGCCUGGACAGCUUCUGGCUAGCGUGAGGCUUCUUCCUGGAAAUCUUCAAUGGCUUCACCGGCCACCGCCGCCAUGGCUUCAUCAAGCUGCUCGACCACUGGGCCGUUGAGGUUGAAGAUGGCUGUCAGCGCUGCAAUGAUGUCCUGCGGCACCGGCCCCUGGAACAUGGACAGAUUUUCCUGCAGUGCAACCUCGAUGGGCUGCAUCUCAUCAGUUAGCAGACCAAGCUUUUUACAUAGAUUAUGUUGUGCCUGUUGCAUCGCUGGCAUGGGUCUGCGGGUAGCUACCUUGCGCUGCAGCGUACCGUGGACAUGUCGAAGAUGCGUCGCGGUCGGCGGGUUUUGUUCGUCCCCUCCUUGAGCUGUUGGUUCUGCUCGUCCCUGUGUUCCUCCACUGGAGGUUCAUGGAGCACUUGUGCCGGCGUGGUGAAGAAUGUGUUGAUGAUGUUGGUGCUGCGUGGGCUGCUGCGUUGCAGCGCCGUUGUGGUGGAGAAGGUGCUGGCGAGGUUGUUGCUGCUAGGACUGUUGUGCUCCGGAGUUCUCUACCCUGCAGUCGGCUGAAGGUUGAAGUCAUUGUCAUGCUCACUGCCGGCGUGAAACAGACCUGCCUCGCCAUCGGUGUUGUUGGUUGGCUACAUCUGUGCAUCAUGAAGGCGAACAGGGGAUGCAAGUUGAAACGGUGAAACAGAAACAUUGUUAAAACACGGUGAGUCUGGUUGCUGGCCAUGGCCUUCCAGCUGAACCUGUAGCUUCUGUAGAGCCGCAUCCACCUCUUGAACAGAGAUGGCAUUGACGUUGACUCCCCCCUCCUUCUGGACGUCCUCCAGGAUGCGUGCGAACACAUGAGGCACCUUGACCAUGGACAGGUCAUUAUUGGCUUCCGUAUGUCCGCGCGCUUCGGACCAGGCUUCAAUUCCUUCAUGUGGUAGGCCAACCUUGUCCACCAGGGUGGCCGCUUUGCUGCCAUGGUCGAGGGAGAUGGUGUUCAGGUGUAGCUCUUCCCUGUCCUCCCCUUCCUAAAACAUGCACAGAAAAUUCUUGGUGGCCUCCGCCAUUGUGGAGGCGCGGUUGGAGAACAGAAAUUUGUAACUCGAUGGACUUCCUGUCGCGCAGGGGGGGCAAAGGAUAACGGCGGCGGUGGCAUGGCGUUGUCGCAGUUGGAGAUGUCGUGGUGCUGACGCCCCCUAUUCCUGCUGCUGCCACCCCACGUCCUGCUCCUAGGCGAGCAUUCACGCUCACGGUAGGAGUCGUUGCCCAGGUGUUUGCGCGUGUCGUGGCCGCGGUGAGCGCGGUCACCGCGCCCAUGGUGUUCCUGGUCAUCGUUGUCGUCCUUCCUCUAGUGCCACACGUUCCACCUGGUGUUGUGGUGGUCAUUGUUGUGGCUUCUUCGAUGACGGCCACGGUCCUCUCUGUCCUAGCGCCGUUCCUCCUCCCCCGCCACGCUGCUUUGGCCAAGUCGAGGUUGGUCCGGGCGUGGUGGCGAGCGUGUCCUUGCUUCAUGUUCCAUCGCCCUGCGUGGUGCCAUCUCCCCGUCGAUGCAGUCGAGAUGCCAGGGAGGAAGCCGGCGGACUGCAGGCGUGCAUGACGUCCUGUCAUCGAGGUUGACCGAGGAGAGGGUGUAGUCUUGGAUCUCCUCUAGGUGCAGGAUGACGCAAUGCUUGAUGCCGCGCUGCCACUGGUCGGGCGGCGCCUUGGACACCAUCACUGACUCCAACCUGGCAUCCCACGCGCGGCCGGUGAACUUGAGCCACACGCACUUGGGGAUAGAGCUUGGGUUCGCCGUCCAGGCCCACAGGUUUAUGGUCUUCGUCUCCUUUGGGUGGUCGAGGUUGGUGUCGUGGCCUCCAGUGCGCAGGUGUUGCCGAUGAUGCUCUCCGCGAUAUCUGCCCUCCAGGCAUGCAUAGGCACGCCAUCGAGACAGAGCCUAACUCUGAAGAGGAGAGUUGCUCCUUCUGCAUCCCGGAGGCUCCUCCACUUGGUGAAGAGGACCUCGAUGUCGGCGCCCAUUGCCUUGCCCCUCUGAAGCGCCUCGGAGCAGUGGCUGCUGUGCUUGAACUUGAUAAGGAACGCUUCAGGGAAGUGACAUGAAACAGUUACCUCGCUGUGGCGCAGCUUGAAGUCUUCUCUGAUGGCCCUCUCGACGUCCCGUGGUUCAACUGGCUCCCAGCCGUGGACCGCCAGGUGACCGCCGCCGUGGAGUCCCAGUCCCGCAGAUCGGCGUCGAUGUCGUCGGUGGACUGAACGAGGCAGUCCACCUGCUCUAGCUUGGUUGCAGUGUCUCCGAGUCUAGACAUGUUGGUCGUGGAGGUGGGCGUCGGCAGUGGAGGAAGUGGAGAUGAAGCCCGAACGCGGUGCGCUGCUUGGUGUCAAGCAAGAGCAGGUGGAGCUCUGUUGCCGCUUGUGCUUGGUCGAUGGGGAGGUGGAGCUCUGUUGUCGCAUGGUGCUGCUUGGUGGCGAGCAGGAGGCGGGCUGUAGUUGCUGUGGCGGUUGUUGGAGCAGGAUCUUGCACGGUGGCUGAAGCGAUGGCAGACGAAGCAACGGCCGGGGUCCCGACAAGACGCAGCGCGGUGGUCGGGGGCCAGGCAGAUGAAGCAGCACCCUUCUUGCCUGGAAGGCGCGUAGACUUGGCGAAGCUGGAUGCUGCUGCCGGGUGCUGAGAGGCGCGAUGGCCGGCAAGUUGAAAGCGCCCCCCUCUACCACCAGUAAGGUUGCCUGACGGGCAUCCAACCAUCUUGAGCAGUGAAUGCGCGCCGGUCAGCUCAGGCGCGGCUCCAGAGGUGGCCGGACGGUGAGUGGUUGAAGAGGGGGAACCGCGGCUGUUGGAGUAACUGCGGGCAGCUUCAGUAAUGGCGGCCUACCGGUCUUGAGGUUGCUACACGAUUUGAAAUGACCUUGGCGAAUCUUGCACCGCGGAUCCUCUGACCACUUGCACGAAGGAGCGGCGGAACGGUGGGGAGAAGCCCUGCUGCGCCUCCGGUGUGUCCUGCACAAAGGGGCUUACCUGGGAUGCAACACCGGCAAUGGAUUUGUGGGCAGGGGAUCUUGGAGGGGCGGAUGUGCUCAGAUCUGGUUGAGAUUUGGAUUUGGUAUUUGAUUUGGUGGGGGGGAAACGGGGAGGGCCAAGCAGCCGCGGAGGUCCUGGGAGCAGCGUGCUGCAACUAGUAAGUAUUAAAUUUGACGAGCCUGGCACGACCAUGCAUGACCAUCACUGGCCAGUGGUCACAAACAACAAUUGACGGGUAGUGCCAAGUGCCAGCGCAUGCGCCCUCACCAAAUCCCUUGUCUCCGUGCUCUUGCAGUUGCAGCGCCUGCAGUUUAUAACGUGGGAACGAACAUUCCUCACAUCUUCGCAUAGUAUGUCCGUAGUAUGCGUUUGGGCAGUGCCUUGGCUGGCAAAAAUAUAAUGUACUCCUACAAAGUUAGUCUAGUCUUGACUCUUUUUUUAACAAAGGUUAGCUAACCUAAUUUUCUAAAAGAAAAGGGUUUGAAAGCAAUAGGCCAUUAGCCGCCAGAUAGUGCCACUGGCAUGUCGCCGUCGUCGGCACGAGCAGGUAUCAGAGAAAAUAAACCGAUGAUCAGCAGGGUCAUGGAAACUUGGGCAGGAAGAAAGUCCUCCUCCGGUCUCCAUUUAUAAGUGGGAGCAUUUAUUUUUAAAAUUUGCACUUGACUUGCCACCAUUUGGUCCUCCUCCGGUCUCUAUUUAUACUCCACCCAUGCCAGAGAGAGCCUCCAUUUGUCUCUCUCCCUUUGGCAACUUAACGCCAUGGACAGAGGGAGCCUGGGCUUACUUGUUCCCACGAGGACGCACGAGAGGCUCCACCACGGUGGCUUGCUCCACAACUCGUCCAGUAAGCCUCAAAUUAUAUAUCCCUGCACCAGCAAGCAACCUUCUCUUAUUAGUAUCCGUAGAGAUGCUUCCUCGAGUCGGCCUAGCAUCCUCAUAAAGUCUUCCCAAAAUAUAAGACAUUCUAUGGUUUCUAUAGUCACGUUUGAUUAUUUUGUUUUUUGUCACUUGCCUUUCUUAAAUAAAUAAAUAUAAACAAGUUUUUUCACAAACCCGUACCAACUUUGUUAGCAAAAGCAGUUAACACGGUUUAUUAAUUAGAGAGGAACUCCGCACAAAGUUAUCUUUAUCUUUUCUACCGACUCGUUACACCCAAAUUCAUGGCUAACAAAGACUGAACAAUAAAACAGGUUUUUUAUAAAAGGAUAAAGGCUAUAUAUCCAAACAACCCCUAGUUCAUGAUCAGAGCACUGCCGAGAAGUUUUAAAUAUAUCCCCAACCAGCAGCUGAUGAAAUAAACCUGAGAAAGAAUUGAAUAGUAAAAAUAUUUCCUUUUCUUCUUGAAAAGCUCUGCAAGUUACAAGAAAAAACAAGAUCAGUUUGAAAAUCGUUGGAACAACAGCAUGUCAAAAUUUCAAUCCUUAAAUGUAGUUGAUUGCUUCUUUUUCUUGAGCACUGAUGACAUGAACAGUAGUUACUAACUCCUAUGUAAUACUUGCAAGAGAGAAAUACAAAUUAGUAAACUAAUUCUGCCUUUCUUUGUUUUUGACAAACAAAUUUUGGAAUGCUAUAAUGCAGAUCCCACUAUGUUGCAAUAUUUGCGAGAAUGGCCAGAGCUAUAUUCACCUAGCUUCUGGAUGGGUGCUUUUACAUUGAUGCAACUGAUAUUCAUCAUAAGUAUGUCCAGUCAAUAUCUGCUCAACCAAAUAAGUUGGUGCAGACAGAGAUUGAAGAUUGCAGCUCCUGAUGAGCACUCAUAUCAGGACCAAAAGAAUACAGUCAUAAAGCAGGGUGUAUCAUAUCAAGCAAGCAAAGCAUGCUGCCUGCUUAUGUUAGCAGUUCAUAUUCUGCGGGUAUUCUUAUUGCAGUUCAAUGAAAGACUAAGUAAUUGCAUGUAUCCAUCUUGUGUGCUAAGUGAAGGCUUGCAGGUGUUAUCCUUCAUAAUAUUGUCAAUAGCAGUAUUCAAUUUUCAGGAAACAAAAUCUACUAAACUACCAUUGAUAGUUCGAUCAUGGUGGAUAUUAAACUUUCUGCAAUCAAUUACCAUGGUGGUAUUUGAUCUCAGAUCAAUUUUAUCGGAUCAUGAACACAUAGGAUACAAAAAAUGGACCAAUCUGUUCAAUCUUGGUGUUUGCACUUAUCUGUUUGCAGUUUCAGCCAGAGGAACAACAGGGAUCAGGAUAACUUUCACAGAUAGCAGCAUAACAGAGCCACUUUUGACCCCAUCUGUAGGACAGCAGAUGGAAGCUGAAAGGACAUGUCUAUAUGGAAGGGCAGGUAUUCUACAACUUAUCACAUUCUCCUGGAUGAAUCCUAUCAUUGCUACUGGAUACAGGAAAACUCUAGAUCAGAAUGAUGUGCCAGAUCUUGAUGGGAAAGACUCUACCGAGUUCCUCUCUGAUUCGUUUAAGAAAAUCAUAAAUGAUGUUGAACACAGGCAUGGUAUAGGUACUUCAUCAAUAUAUACAGCAAUGUUCUUAUUUGUUAGACGGAAAGCAAUGAUCAAUGCAGCACUUGCUGUGCUAAGUGCCAGCGCAUCCUAUGUUGGACCAUCAUUGAUUAACGACUUGGUGAAGUUCCUUGCAGGAGACAGGCAAUAUGGACACAAAAGAGGUUACCUUCUUGCUUUAGCUCUUCUAAGUGCUAAAGUUGUAGAAGCAAUAGCAGAGAGUCAGUGGUGGUUUGGAGCUCAACACCUCGGGAUGCGGCUCCGAGCUGCUUUGAUAUCUCAGGUCUAUCAAAAGGGACUCCAGUUAUCCUUCAGUUCGAGGCAGAAGCACAACAGCGGAGAGAUCAUAAACUACAUGGAUGUAGAUAUACAAAGGAUAUCUGAUUUUUUAUGGUACACAAACUACAUAUGGAUGCUACCCAUUGAGCUCUUUCUAGCUGUCUAUGUUCUCUAUCAAAAUCUAGGGGCUGGGGCCUGGGCUGGUUUAGCAGCAACACUGGCAGUAAUGGCUUGCAAUAUUCCGCUAACCAGCAUGCAAAAAAAGUUGCAAGCCAAGAUCAUGGCUGCUAAAGACGAGAGAAUGAAGGCAACAACAGAAGUUCUUAGAAGCAUGAAAAUACUGAAACUUCAAGCAUGGGAUAUGCAGUACCUUCAAAAGAUAGAGGCUUUGCGAAGCGAGGAGUACAAGUGGUUAUGGAGAUCUCAGAGGUUGUCGGCUUUGACAACACUUGUGUUUUGGGGGGCACCUGCGUUUAUAUCCUCUGUAACAUUUGGCUCAUGCAUAUUGAUGGGGAUUCCUCUAACUGCUGGUAGUGUUUUGUCUGCCCUUGCAACAUUCCGGAUGCUACAAGAUCCAAUCUUCACACUUCCUGACUUGCUUUCAGCGUUUGCUCAAGGUAAAGUUUCAGCAGAUAGAGUAGCAAAGUACCUACAGGAAGAAGAACUGAAAUGUGAUACAGUUACACAAGUGCCAAGAAGUGACACAUGCUAUGCUGUGGAGAUUUAUCAAGGAACAUUCAGCUGGGAACUUGAGACCACUUCUCCAACUCUCACAGAUGUAGAGUUAAGAGUAAAGAGAGGGAUGAAAGUAGCUAUCUGUGGAAUGGUCGGCUCUGGAAAAUCCAGUCUAUUGUCAUGCAUACUUGGGGAGAUGCCAAAGCGAAACGGGACUGUCAGAGUGAGCGGGAGCAAAGCAUAUGUUCCUCAAACUGCCUGGAUCCUGUCCGGGAAUAUCAGGGACAACAUUCUAUUCGGAAAUCCAUAUGACAAAGAAAAGUAUGAAAGGAUAGUACAAGCUUGUGCACUGACUAAAGAUAUUGAAAUGUUUGCAAAUGGAGAUUUGACUGAGAUUGGUGAAAGAGGAAUAAACAUGAGCGGUGGCCAGAAGCAGCGGAUUCAGAUUGCAAGGUCGAUGUAUGAGGAUGCUGAUAUUUACCUCUUUGAUGAUCCUUUUAGUGCAGUAGAUGCUCACACUGGAAGUCAGAUUUUUAAGGUAGGUUUUGUAGUUCCAAGAAACGCACAAAUAUAAUACUAACCAUUUAGGACUUUUAGGACAGUAGUCGGCACAUAUUCUAAGCAAUAAAUAAUUGGAUCAUGCAGGAUUGUGUAAUGGGAAUUCUUAAAGACAAAACAGUACUGUAUGUGACCCACCAAGUUGAAUUUCUUCCAGCUGCAGAUCUUAUACUGGUAGGUGCCUAAAAUAGCUUUUUGUUUAACUAAUCAUGUCCAAAGGAGAUGCCAAGCAACUAACCAUGUGGAUGAAAGUAAACAGGUGAUGCAGGGCGGAAAGAUUGUGCAGGAAGGGAAAUUUGAUGAGCUCCUUCAAAGAAAUAUAGGAUUCGAAGCUAUAGUAGGAGCCCAUAGCCAGGCUCUUGAAUCUGUCAUGAAUGCUGAGAGCUCCAGCAGAAUAUCCUCAGAUAAUCAGAAAUCAGCAGAUACAGAGGAUGAUUUAGAUGCAGAAAACAAAACAGAUGAUCAGCUUCAGGGCAUAACAAAACAAGAGUCAGCACACGAUGUCUCACACAACACCAAUGACAAGGGAAGGUUAACACAAGAUGAGGAGAGAGAAAAGGGAGGCAUUGGCAAGAAAGUUUAUUGGGUGUACCUGAGGACAGUUCAUGGUGGUGCCUUAGUUCCAAUAAUAAUCGCUGCACAGCUAUUAUUCCAAAUAUUUCAGGUAGCAAGCAACUAUUGGAUGGCAUGGGCAUCCCCUCCAUCAUCUGCAACCAACCCAACCAUUGGAUUAGGCCUCCUU